rnacentral:rRNA from 1 species
GACGAACGCUGGCGGCGUGCCUAAUACAUGCAAGUAGAACGCUGAAGCUUGGUGCUUGCACCGAGCGGAUGAGUUGCGAACGGGUGAGUAACGCGUAGGUAACCUGCCUGGUAGCGGGGGAUAACUAUUGGAAACGAUAGCUAAUACCGCAUAAGAGUAGAUGUUGCAUGACAUUUGCUUAAAAGGUGCAAUUGCAUCACUACCAGAUGGACCUGCGUUGUAUUAGCUAGUUGGUGAGGUAACGGCUCACCAAGGCGACGAUACAUAGCCGACCUGAGAGGGUGAUCGGCCACACUGGGACUGAGACACGGCCCAGACUCCUACGGGAGGCAGCAGUAGGGAAUCUUCGGCAAUGGACGGAAGUCUGACCGAGCAACGCCGCGUGAGUGAAGAAGGUUUUCGGAUCGUAAAGCUCUGUUGUAAGAGAAGAACGAGUGUGAGAGUGGAAGGUUCACACUGUGACGGUAUCUACCA